CAUUACUGAACAAUUAGGGUUGUAGCUGACUCUGUCAACCGAGUACUGUGCUCGCUCUAUUCUUCCACUUUUCCCCCUGUGCACCUUUUGUAUGCUAUGACAUCCAUCGUGUGGGAGUUCAUACUCAUUACCGGUUCAAGGGAUUGCUGGAUUUACUCCGGCUGCUCUUGCCCUUCAUAUGCCUAUGUCUUUAUACACUCUUUACAAGUCUAGAAUGUCUUUUGAGGGUCUAUUGACCUAUAAACUUAAUACAACUUUCAACAACGGAUCUCUUGGCUCUCGCAUCUAUGAACAACGCAGCAAAAUGCGAUAAGUAAUGUGAAUUGCAAAAUUCAGUGAAUCAUCAAAUCUUUAAACGCACCUUGCGCCCUUUGGUAUUCCGAAUGGCAUGCCUGUUUGAUUGUCAUUAAAUUCCCAAACCUUGAUCAUUUUUGCGACUGACUUCAAGGCUUUGGAUGUGGGAGUCUGCUGGAACUCUUUUGGUUCAGCUCUCCUCUGUCCAGUAAACAUUUUUCCGCCUUUGACAUCGGGUUUUUUGGAUUUUGGCAGGGAGGAGGAAAGUGCGGAAAGUAAUAAAAAAUGCGGAAUUCAGGGAUUCAUGGAUUCUUGGAAUGUAUGAACCGCCCUUUGGCCUUUGGUUAUUGCGGAGGGGCUUGAGUGUCAUGUUAUCUUUAAAUUUUAAACCUUUUUCCGUUUUUGGGCUGGGAUUAGGGGGUUGGGUGUUGGGGUUUGGUGGGAACAUAUUGGGUUAAGCUUCCUUAAAAGCCAUAAGGGGUUACUUGAUCCCCUUUCCUUGGUGUGAUAAUUAUAUACGCCUUUGAAAUGAUCAGCAUUGUAUCAGCUUCUAACCGUCCAUUGACUUGGACAACUACUUAAUUGACCAUUGACCUC
rnacentral:misc_RNA from 1 species